rnacentral:rRNA from 1 species
GACGAACGCUGGCGGCGUGCCUAAUACAUGCAAGUCGAACGAGAGCGACCGGUGCUUGCACUGGUCAAUCUAGUGGCGAACGGGUGAGUAACACGUGGGUAACCUGCCCAUCAGAGGGGGAUAACAUUCGUAAACGGAUGCUAAAACCGCAUAGGUCCUUUAACCGCAUGGUUGAAGGAGGAAAAGAGGCGCAAGCUUCUGCUGAUGGAUGGACCCGCGGUGCAUUAGCUAGUUGGUGAGGUAACGGCUCACCAAGGCCGUGAUGCAUAGCCGACCUGAGAGGGUGAUAGGCCACAUUGGGACUGAGCCACGGACCAAACUACUGCGGGAGGCCGCAGUAGGGAAUCUGACGCAAUGGACGCAAGUCUGACGGAGCAACGCCGCGUGAGUGAAGAAGGUGUUCGGAUCGUAAAACUCUGUUGUUAGAGAAGAACAAGUGCUAGAGUAACUGUUAGCGCCUUGACGGUAUCUAACCAGAAAGCCACGGCUAACUACGUG